AUUUUUCUGUGUAUUUCAACCAGAAAAAUGUACACUUAAAGAGAAUAACAAGCUACAUAAUGCAAAAUGUUUACUUUUCAAAAAUUCCAAUCUUAAACAGUCGAAACAAACCUGAACAACGCCAGGCGAUACUGCUAAUAUAUAUAUAUAUAUAUAUAUAUUAUAUAUAUAUGUAUAUAUAUAU